rnacentral:lncRNA from 1 species
CCGUGCCCUCCUAGUGAAAUCCUGCUGCCAUUCUCCGGCAGCCCAGCUCCCUGUGCCUCCCUGCGAUGUGCUCUGUCCGUGAGCCGAGUGCCCCGGCCGAGAGGAUGGUGGGGAGAGCAAGGCAGAGCCCACCCAGUGCCCCAGCCCGGGGGUCCCGCUGCCUCCGGCUUCGCUCUGCCCUUUCGUCCCCGUGCCACUCGCCCCAGUUGUCUGAGAGCAGGUGACAGAGGUUUCUUGGCAGAGGAGAGAGGAGGGGAGGGAUGUGGAGGCAGCGAGAGGUGGAGCUGGACCCGGAGCAACAGGUUACUGUAUAACCAGGAGCCGGUGGCCCCGGCGCAGCGGCUGCAUCCCCGUGAGGUGCGGGGGCACCUGGGGCCUUCGCCCGCUCCUGGCCCAAGGGGAGCCAGAGCCGAGCCGUGCGCUGCCCGAGGGGGACGUGUAAAACUUCAGGUUUCUUCCGCCCGAGAACAUUUCGUGCCCAAGCGGGAGUGCUGUGUCGGACCUCCCCUGCGGCUGUACAAGCCAGAUCGUCUGUAUCAGCAGGAGCCGGAGCAUUGCCCCUUUUCACCUGGUACCAGGAGAGACACUCUGAAAGCAAAAGCAGCUUCUGGCUAUAAGGAACCAAGGUAGGACUUGAGCAUCACUCCUUGCAUUGUGGCGAGUGCUCUCGCCAUCCCUAUGCAUUACCCUCAUGCUCUCUGAAAGGGUUUCUUUAGAAAACAAACCUCGGUCUCCUCUCAUUUUCCCUUGUUGCUCCUCUCUUGCUCGCCAAAAAACAGAGGGAAAUUUCAAAGGAUGGUAAGGCUGCUCCUGAGCUUCUGGUGCCAGAAUACAUUGAGGAUGUUUGGGUUGUGCUCUGGGGUCUGCCCUACUGCAAGCUCUGUGCUGCUGAGUGUGUGGUUUGGGGCUCGGAGGGACGCUGCUCUCUGGGAAACAGUCUCUCGUGUGGGCAGAUUAUUUCUUUCAAAAAGUGCCUAGUUUCAUCUGUCUUAAGACUUAGUUUUUAAACAUUUUUUAAAUUGAUGGGAUUAGCUCAUGGGCUGAGGAUCGUUAAGCUGGAAAAUACCAGCUGAGUUCAUGGGUGUUACGGCAGUGGUAGUGUGUGAUCCAUCUGGUUGGCGGAUCUUGAAAAAAUGGAGCUUAUUAAAAGAUUUUAUUAAAGUGGACGUGCAUCACAGACACCCCCCUCAGCCCUCCAGUGUGUGUUGAGCCCAUGGCACAUGGAUGAUAGACGCCACCCGCCACCGGCCCUAGGAAGCUGCAACUCCAGCAGAGAUCAGAGAAAUACAAAGACGCUUCCACCACGAGACGCGAGCCUGGAGGAAGCCCGGCCUCCUCAACACGGUGCCUGUCAAGCUCCCCGUCGUGGUGGUUUCCUCAGUGCCAGCUGCACCAUGGGGGCUCGUGCUCAGCUCUCUGCCUGGCCCACGGCCGAAGCCAUGCAGCAGAAAUGCCCCUGGUGAGUUAUCGUGGGAGG